UUAGACCUCAAAUCAGUCAGGACUACCCGCUGAACUUAAGCAUAUCAAUAAGCGGAGGAAAAGAAACUAACAAGGAUUCCCCUAGUAACGGCGAGUGAAGUGGGAAAAGCUCAACUUUGUAAUCUGGCAGCUUUGCUGUCCGAGUUGUAGUCUCGAGAAGUGUUUUCCGCGCUGGAUCGUGUAUGAGUCUGUUGGAAUACAGCGUCAUAGAGGGUGAGAACCCCGUUCGUGACACGACUACCAGUGCUUUGUGAUACAUUUUCGAUGAGUCGAGUUGUUUGGGAAUGCAGCUCAAAUUGGGUGGUAAAUUCCAUCUAAAGCUAAAUAUUGGCGAGAGACCGAUAGCAAACAAGUACCGUGAGGGAAAGAUGAAAAGCACUUUGGAAAGAGAGUUAACAGUACGUGAAAUUGUUGAAAGGGAAACGUUUGAAGUCAGACGUGCGUUGUGCGAUUCAGCUACGGUUCGCCGGAGUGUAUUUCGUACUAUUGCAGGCCAGCAUCGGUUUGGCGAGUCGGAUAAAGGUUAGAGAAAGGUAGCGGCUCCGGCCGUGUUAUAGUCUUUAACUGAAUACGAAUUGCUAGACCGAGGGACGCAGCGCGCCGCAAGGCAAAGCUUUCGGGCUUUUCGCGCUUAGGAUGCUGGUGAAAUGGCUUUAAAUGACCCGUCUUGAA
rnacentral:rRNA from 1 species